UUUGUAUGUGUCUGUGUGUAUGAAAGGGAGAGAAACAGAGUGAGAGAGAAUGGAGGGAGAAAGAGGGAGAGAGAGAGCGAGAGAGAGAGAUUGGGGGAUUUGUAAGGCAUUUAUAUUAGCUAACUUCUGGCUGAAUUCAAUUUGGAACAGGCAGAAGAUCAGAUAGACAGACAGCGUUUGUUAGCGUGUGUGAUUGUGUGAAUGUGUUUUAGUAUGUGUGUUUGUGUGUGUGGGACAGAGACAGGGAUAGAGGGACAGAGGGAGGGAGGGAGGGAGAAGAACCCGUUCCCCUCAGUUCCACACUAAUCUCGUUCCCAGCAAUAGCCUGGGGACGAGGUUAGUUCCACACUAACUCUUCAAUGUGUUCACUUGAGGGAAGUUAUGGAAGCUUUUUUUCUUUCCUUUUUUCCCACCUAUACACUCUUCAACAUUCUGCAAUAACAUUGACGAGACAAGAAGAGAACUGAAUAACUUUCCACUAUUAUUUAGCUGACUGGGAUGUGUGAGGAGGAGAGGUGUGUGAGGAGGAGAGGAGUGUGAGGAUGGAAGAUGCUGGGGGAGAGAGGAGCGCUGCUCUGGGCUCAGUGAGAGUGAGAGGUUUAUAGAGGCCAGGACACAGAGGAUGCUGAGAAAGUCCAGUCCAGAGGAGAGCUGCAACAAUCAGGCCAGCAUGGAGUCACAACGAGGUCAGGAGUUUCUGAACUGAGUCUAACCUCUGACAUCUGGAUGGUGCCACCAGCCUGUUGCCCCACGGUGAGAGGCGAGAGGGCCUGCAACCACGUGGUACCACAGCAGCCAACAACCACACAAACACAGUCAUAGGGGGGACUGAGAAAUGCCUGACUAGAUCCCUUACAAAACUGGGCGGAUGUUUAAUUUACUGUAUGUGUGUAAGUGUGAGUGGAUCAUUAACAUGUAUCUGUUCAACAGACACAUUGAGACUAUUCUCUGCAAAUAUUCUAUUCCAUCCCAUAUCUUGCUGUCUCUGUGAGACAGAGGCUGUACACAAACAGUGAUCAUGUUGUGGGCCAGCUUCUGUUCUAUUUUCAGUUGAACAUGUCCCCCUGGUGGAGAUGGAAGGAGUCACAUGCUACAUUGAAGACAUGGUUAUUAUGCCAUUCCAAGUAAUGGGAAAGGCAAGAGGAACAGCAAAACCUGUAUCAAUUAUUUUCUCCUGAACUUUGAAUGAUGGAGAGCUGGACAUAGGCUGACAUUUUACAUUUCAGGGGGAACUGGGAUGCCAGCAAAUGGAGAUAUUUGCACUAGUAAAAAAAUGGCCAUAUGAACCAUAAAGCAUAUAAAUAUAUUUUUCUUCAUUGUAUUUUUUAUUUUAUUUAUUAACUCCAUGUACAACCUUAUACAUAGGAACAACAACUUACAGACGCACACAAACAAUGACUACAUCUCAUCUUCCCAGACCCGCAUGCUCACACCCCCAUCCCUAGUACCUGCAUUAUUGUUUGCCACUUGGCCUUAAACUGUAUCAAUUUGUUUUUCUCGGCCACCCAUGCCAUUUCAAUAUUUCAAUAAUAAAUCAUUAGAUGUUUUCAUUGUGUUAAUGAUGGCGGAUUGAUUGAUUUCCACGUUUUUAAUAGAUGUUUUUCCAAGAUGAGUGAUGAGAAGAGAAUCGUCCAGCACAUUUGGGUAUCUCACUACACCCCCAUAUGCAGACAGACGGAUUAAAAUUACGUUUACAUUGUAAUACUUCUGACAGCCAAUUUUCUAGCUCCGCCCACAACUUCCAGACUUCAUAGCAUUCCCAGAAAGCAUGGAUUAUAGAGUCAUUAUUCGUUUUUCACUUAAGACAUUCUGUCGUUGUGCUGUAGAAUUUGUGAAUUUUGUCUCUUGUAUAAUACAUUCUAUACAUUAGUUUAUACUGGAUUA